rnacentral:rRNA from 1 species
CACCUCCCACCCGUGUUUAUUUUACCUUGUUGCUUCGGCGGGCCCGCCUUAACUGGCCGCCGGGGGGCUUACGCCCCCGGGCCCGCGCCCGCCGAAGACACCCUCGAACUCUGUCUGAAGAUUGUAGUCUGAGUGAAAAUAUAAAUUAUUUAAAACUUUCAACAACGGAUCUCUUGGUUCCGGCAUCGAUGAAGAACGCAGCGAAAUGCGAUACGUAAUGUGAAUUGCAAAUUCAGUGAAUCAUCGAGUCUUUGAACGCACAUUGCGCCCCCUGGUAUUCCGGGGGGCAUGCCUGUCCGAGCGUCAUUUCUGCCCUCAAGCACGGCUUGUGUGUUGGGCCCCGUCCUCCGAUCCCGGGGGACGGGCCCGAAAGGCAGCGGCGGCACCGCGUCCGGUCCUCGAGCGUAUGGGGCUUUGUCACCCGCUCUGUAGGCCCGGCCGGCGCUUGCCGAUCAACCCAAAUUUUUAUCCAGGUUGACCUCGGAUCAGGUAGGGAUACCCGCUGAACUUAAGCAUAUCAAUA